AAGGAUGGACCGACACGUGUCGGUCAUGCAGCUAGCUGGUUAAAGGAACGAAACGGUGCGGAAACCGGACUGCCGGGAGAGAGUGGCAUGUACGGACGCCUGGCGCGAAUUCCAAGAACGCGUCGUCACGUUCCCCUCCCCAGUAUUUCAGAUUUUCAGUAUAUUUUCGCGGACGGGGAGCUAGUUUUCGCCGGGUUUGGUAUCGCAGACGGGUUCGGGUCGGGACCGGAAUGGAGUGGUGGGAGAAGAUGAUAUUGCCGAUGAGGAGGGUUUGGGUCGCCUUUACUGCCCGAGUCAGGACUCGGAAAAACGGAAGUGGGCUCCUCAAGCUUCACGAUGAUGUGCAGACGUGUGGGUAUCAAGAUGUGCAGGUGAUGUGGGAGAUGCUAAGUAGAUCGGAGAUGGAGCUACCGUGUCCAUCCAAGCACAAGCGGCCCACACCCUUCCGGAGGCUCUUUGCGUGGUCCAGUAGAAGUCAAUUACUGGACCGUGUCUGAACGAACAUGACCAUGUCCCAGGCUUCAAAUGUACAUAAUAUCUUGCCUUUGCAUCCCCAAAUGAAAACCAUAUCUGGUUACAAUAGAGAAGUUUCUUUGAGCAUAGCAUGCACCAAGAGUCGGCGAGUACAUCUCUCCCGCCAUAUACAAAAAUCACAUGGGUGAACUUCUGAAAUUUUAAUUUUGAAAUUUUUCUAAAUCCCGCCACGCUAUCUUUAAAUGGCGAGUGAUAAGAUGUCCACCGACUCUCAGUGCACGCCGUGCACAUCGAAGUUGUGUCAAUGUAUACAUAUAUGUUUGUAAAUGAUAUGAUCCUAUCUAUGUUUGGAGUUUUUCCUCUCAGAAGUAUGGAGUGGAGUCUUUCCAACAGGUUUUUGGUUUUGGGUGGGUUUGAGUGUGCAUAGCGAUUGCAAAUUGAGGGCGGCAAUUGCAAUUCAGUCAUUUGCACAUCAUUAAACUGUUAUAAUUGCAAUAUGAAUGCAUCCAAACAUGACUUGUUUUAAGCAUUAUGAAAUCGAUUGGUUUUUCUUUUCUUA